CUAAUUGGUGACACCGAGUUC
rnacentral:piRNA from 1 species